ensembl:lncRNA novel transcript, antisense to PDE1A
AAAUGUAAGAGGGGCCUCAGAAGUGAAUACCUGUUUGACAUUCCAGAAGGAGCCUUCACUCUGUCAAUAUUCUUGGAAGAAUAUCAACCCUGAAUACCUAUCAUGUAUCCUUUACAGCUUCAAUGGUAUAGGGUCUACAUAUCUUCAGGAAAAUAUCUUUGUAAAUCUAAAUAUUAAGGUUUUCUUUGGUCUUUCUCAUUCUUUGAACUUCACUUUUAAAACAUCUUUAUUGGAGUAAAUUAUGGACAAAAUUAAAUGGCAUAUUUAAUUUACAAAUACAUAUAGUUUUAUAAUGAAAUAAAAUAUAUUUAAUUUCUCUUUCUCUCUACCUAUCUCUGAAAUCUUUUUAUAAAAAUUAGCAGUUUCUUCAUCCACUUAGUCCUACCCUAUGUUCUGCUCACUGGGACAUCUCUUUAAAAAUACUUUGAUUGUUUUUUUCUGGGAUUUUACUCUACAUUUUAAAAUGGUAUGCUUAUUCUGCUAUCUCUUGGUUUAUUGAUACUGGAUACCACCUAUUGGCCUCCUGUUACGGUGAAUAAGGACUUAGGUGUUUUUUAUAUAUCUGCUCCAUUUUACCUUACCCUAAGUUACCAAAAAUACUGUUUUAUAAUACUUGUAACAUUAAUAAUCAAGGUUUACAUUUUUAUGAUCAGACAUACAGUGUUCAUUACAUAGCUGAAUAGUGUAUGAAGAUUACAUUUCCAUGCCUUUGGGUUUUUUUUAUUACCCAAAGUAAUGAAUUACUGCAUUUUUUACUAACAUUAUGUUCUGAAUGUCUAUCCAAAUUUUCCCCCUAAGCCCCAUUUACAUCUUCCAAAUAUCAAUCAGCACUUCCUCUUUUAUGCUGGAAACCUAUCUUGGACCUGUAUCUCUGGCUCACAUUCAGAUCUGUUGCUCUCCAGAUCUUACACAGCUGUCAUCCUGAGGCUGCCCUUGACCACAUUUCCUGUUGGAUUCCCUGUUUCUGGAUUCUAUGACCUCACUUCUGAAUUUUCUUCUGUUUUGCACAUUCUCCAGUAGUUUCCAAGAAAGUGUGUAUGUGACAUAAAUCACUGAGUUUCUGAAUGCUAAAAAUUUUGUUCUUUCUUCCCACUUGAUUGAUAGUCUGACAGAAUAUUCUAGAUUGAAAAGAAUUUUCUCUCAAAAUGUAAAGGCUUUUCUUCAUUUCUUCUGUUAGGGGGAGUCCUAUGCCUAGUGACUCUGCUCUGCCAGUUACCACUAUUCCUUCUGUUUACAUUUUUCAAAAAUUCGCUAAAAUAACCUAUUCUCUAAUGCCUUCUCUUUUUUUCCUCUUUGAUUUUGUGGGUUUAUAAAUUUUUAUUUUCAAUUUUAGGGGGUUUCAAGCUGGAAAAAAAAUCAAUACAUGUGACCAUCCAUCACCUUAUUCAAAAGUAAGAUUUUAUUUUUUUUGCUGCCUGACUAAAUUGGCAAAAUGAUAGUAAUAAGGUGGCAGCAAGGUAAAAACUUCUUUUUAAUGAUGUACCUAAAUAACUGCACAAACUAACAAUGACGAAACAGAUAAGUUACAGGGCUGGUGCAAAUGGACAUUACCCAUUUGGUAUUGGAAAAAUUAUAGAGAUGUUUUUCACAAACAGAAGAUAAUCUCUUUGUUUUUUCUGGGGCAGAAAGAAUAACUGAGGAAAUAAAAAAUAAAGAAUUAUAACAGAAAGUCCAUUUAGAUAGUAGGAAGAAUCAAGUUUGAUCUAGAUCUCAAGGGAGUCUGUGUAUUCUAAAAUGCAUGAGUCAUUUUCAUUUUUUAAUUUUAGCAUUAAUUUUGUGUUUUCAUCAGUUACUUCAUUUUCCUUUGAAGGUGUGAUAUUCUGUCAAGUUCUAUAACACGGAUGCUGGUUUUCUACUGCAAUUUGCUUUUAAAAUGUCCAGUGGAAAGAAAUGCUAAAGAACGUUAUAAUGAGUGCUUUGUCUUAGUGAUGUUUAAAAGAACCUUGCCUCUCAAAGAAACUGCUUAAAACAAGCCUGUGGAGCAAAUGGUCAUGCAACUUUAAAAUGCUGCCAGUAAAAUAGCUAAGUAAUCUCAAGAAACCCAUCUGAAUGCUAACCACCUAGACCAGAAAACUCAAUCCAAACUCCAAUAAUCAACUGCUUCGUGAAAGAGCCAGCUGCUGAAAAGAUGUUCUUCCUACUGCUGCUAAGAAAGAAAAAAUAACUGUGCAUACUCUAUGUACACCAUAUUCAACACGUGCUUUUACAGCCAGAAGAGAACUGAAGAAAUCAGUGGAGUGUGAUAAAUAUCAGUGUGUCCAAAGAAAUCAGUUUGUGAAAAUUUCAUUAUUUUUUUAAUUUUCCCCUCUCAACGGCUGCUUAGAUUGUUUUACAGUCACUCUGAUUUAGCAAGAGAAUAUUGACUGGAAGGGAAAAUAUUUUUUAAUGCUGUGAAUAAGCAAAUUGUCAAUUUUGCUUCUAACACUAAAUGUCUUAGAGUUUAAUAUUAAAUAUAGUUAAGAAAUUUUAGAAAAAUAAACCUGAGACUAAAAUGAUAAAGAAAAGAAACAAAUAUAUUAUUGAUACCAUUUUGUAUGUUUAUUAUUGAUCACCCAAAUCAUUCACCCCAUACCUGUGCCUUUCUGUCAUCUGGAACAAUGUUACCCUUAAUGAUGUUAUUUUAACAGACAGAAUGAUGACAGUUUAAUCUUGAUAUGGGAGUAGGCCUAUCCAGUUAACUCUGGUUUCUCAACUCACUCACCUCUAACUCUUACAGAAGAUAUUUAAGCAUAAUCCUAAUCUUUUACCACUAUUCCACUCACUUAUCCUCACUACUUUGUCACUCUUGAGCUCUUUCCUGUCUCCACUAUCCAUGCUCAAGUAGGUCUUGGCUACCUUUCUGCUCCAAGAAGAGAUGAUCAUUGUCAGGAAAAGUCACUGUAGCCUCCUUACAUACAAGCCUCCUUACAUACAUUUCAAGUUAGUGACCUGGGUCCUCUGAUGUUCUGCCCUAAUUUUAGCUAUCAAACAUCUUCCCUAAGAAAAACUUUCUAUGUGAAUAAAAUUCAUCCUUUUGAAUUAAUUAAGUUCAUAGGUGUCAUUGUUACUUAACUCAAGAUUAUGAAAACCUCAGCACCAAAGCAUACAUUCUCACCAAAUUUCAACUCUCAGCUCUAUUGCAUGCAACACACUCAAACAUCCCAAUAUUUGUAGGUAAGGAGACAUCCAUAUCAUAUUUCAUAUCCUAAUAUUGGAGAUUUGUGUUAGUUAUGUGUGAGUACCUAUAUAUAAUUCCAAAACUUGGCAUUAUUUUCCUACAUACACCAAGAAUUUAAUUUGUUUAUUUUUUUGCAAUUUAUAAAUGAUUGACCCAAUAUAUAAAUAUAU